CCUACGUGGAGCAGCAGUGAGGAAUAUUGGUCAAUGGGCGCGAGCCUGAACCAGCCAAGUAGCGUGAAGGAUGACUGCCCUACGGGUUGUAAACUUCUUUUAUAAAGGAAUAAAGUGAGGCACGUGUGCCUUUUUGUAUGUACUUUAUGAAUAAGGAUCGGCUAACUCCGUGCCAGCAGCCGCGGUAAUACGGAGGAUCCGAGCGUUAUCCGGAUUUAUUGGGUUUAAAGGGAGCGUAGAUGGGUUGUUAAGUCAGUUGUGAAAGUUUGCGGCUCAACCGUAAAAUUGCAAUUGAUACUGGCAGUCUUGAGUACAGUUGAGGUAGGCGGAAUUCGUGGUGUAGCGGUGAAAUGCUUAGAUAUCACGAAGAACUCCGAUUGCGAAGGCAGCUUACUAAACUGCCACUGACAUUGAUGCUCGAAAGUGUGGGUAUCAAACAGGAUUAGAUACCCUAGUAGUC
rnacentral:rRNA from 1 species